CAGGCUUAACACAUGCAAGUCGAGGGGCAUCGGCAUGAAAGCUUGCUUUCUUUGCCGGCGACCGGCGCACGGGUGAGUAACACGUAUCCAACCUGCCCUUUACUCGGGGAUAGCCUUUCGAAAGAAAGAUUAAUACCCGAUAGCAUAAUGAUUCCGCAUGGUUUCAUUAUUAAAGGAUUCCGGUAAAGGAUGGGGAUGCGUUCCAUUAGGUUGUUGGUGAGGUAACGGCCCACCAAGCCUUCGAUGGAUAGGGGUUCUGAGAGGAAGGUCCCCCACAUUGGAACUGAGACACGGUCCAAACUCCUACGGGAGGCAGCAGUGAGGAAUAUUGGUCAAUGGGCGCUAGCCUGAACCAGCCAAGUAGCGUGAAGGAUGAAGGCUCCAUGGGUCGUAAACUUCUUUUAUAUAAGAAUAAAGUGCAGUAUGUAUACUGUUUUGUAUGUAUUAUAUGAAUAAGGAUCGGCUAACUCCGUGCCAGCAGCCGCGGUAAUACGGAGGAUCCGAGCGUUAUCCGGAUUUAUUGGGUUUAAAGGGAGCGUAGGUGGACUGGUAAGUCAGUUGUGAAAGUUUGCGGCUCAACCGUAAAAUUGCAGUUGAUACUGUCAGUCUUGAGUACAGUAGAGGUGGGCGGAAUUCGUGGUGUAGCGGUGAAAUGCUUAGAUAUCACGAAGAACUCCGAUUGCGAAGGCAGCUCACUGGACUGCAACUGACACUGAUGCUCGAAAGUGUGGGUAUCAAACAGGAUUAGAUACCCUGGUAGUCCACACAGUAAACGAUGAAUACUCGCUGUUUGCGAUAUACAGUAAGCGGCCAAGCGAAAGCAUUAAGUAUUCCACCUGGGGAGUACGCCGGCAACGGUGAAACUCAAAGGAAUUGACGGGGGCCCGCACAAGCGGAGGAACAUGUGGUUUAAUUCGAUGAUACGCGAGGAACCUUACCCGGGCUUAAAUUGCAGUGGAAUGAUGUGGAAACAUGUCAGUGAGCAAUCACCGCUGUGAAGGUGCUGCAUGGUUGUCGUCAGCUCGUGCCGUGAGGUGUCGGCUUAAGUGCCAUAACGAGCGCAACCCUUAUCUUCAGUUACUAACAGGUCAUGCUGAGGACUCUGGAGAGACUGCCGUCGUAAGAUGUGAGGAAGGUGGGGAUGACGUCAAAUCAGCACGGCCCUUACGUCCGGGGCUACACACGUGUUACAAUGGGGGGUACAGAAGGCAGCUAGCGGGUGACCGUAUGCUAAUCCCAAAAUCCUCUCUCAGUUCGGAUCGAAGUCUGCAACCCGACUUCGUGAAGCUGGAUUCGCUAGUAAUCGCGCAUCAGCCACGGCGCGGUGAAUACGUUCCCGGGCCUUGUACACACCGCCCGUCAAGCCAUGGGAGCCGGGGGUACCUGAAGUACGUAACCGCAAGGAUCGUCCUAGGGUAAAACUGGU
rnacentral:rRNA from 1 species